AGAGAGAGACAUGCGCGCAUAUCAAUAAGCGGAGGAAAAGAAACUAACAAGGAUUCCCUUAGUAACGGCGAGUGAAGCGGGAAGAGCUCAAAUUUGAAAUCUUCAAGGUUUUACCUUGACGAAUUGUAGUUUAAAGAAGUGUUUUCUGCUGAAGUUUUGGUAAAAGUUCUUUGGAAUAGGACAUCAUAGAGGGUGAGAAUCCCGUAUUUGACCAUUAUUUUCAGCUUUGUGAUACACUUUCAAAGAGUCGGAUUGUUUGGGAAUGCAGUCCAAAUGGGUGGUAAAUUUCAUCUAAAGCUAAAUAUUGGCGAGAGACCGAUAGCGAACAAGUACCGUGAGGGAAAGAUGAAAAGAACUUUGAAAAGAGAGUUAAACAGUACGUGAAAUUGUCAAAAGGGAAGCGUUUGACACCAGUGUUGUUUUCUCGAAAAUCAAUUAAAAAUGGCUCGAUUUUGUAUUGUUGAUUGACCUUUAAACAGCUUCACUGCUACAUCUUUUCGUGUCUUUUUUAAUGCACUUUUCGUUUAACAAGUCAACAUCAGUUUCUUUUGUUGUAAAAGGGUCAUUGGAAGGUGGCUUUCUUUUCGGAGAAAGUGUUUAUAGCCUUUGGCCUCUGCAAUCGGAGAGACUGAGGUCUGCAGCGUAGACUCCUUCGGGGUUAGAUACAUUUGUGCUAAGUUAUAGCCUUUUCAUAGACAACUUGUUGACUAUAAUCAGUCAUGUAGCUUACUCGCUUAUGCUAUUUUACCUACGCUUAGGAUGUUGAGUCGUAGAGCACGCAG
rnacentral:rRNA from 1 species